rnacentral:SRP_RNA from 1 species
UAUCAAGAUUGUAACAAUAAUAAAUAGUUAUGAACCCCGCCAGAUCUGGAAAGAAGCAACGGUAAUAAUUUUUUAUGUAUUGAAUAAUAUUCUUGGUGCUA